AUCAUCGGACACAUCUAUUACGUGAUAUUCAGCAGAGAACUUUCAUUUGCUUUUUGGAAUCCAGAUUCACCUCAGGAGCGUAAAAGAAGAAGAAAGGAGCUGUAAACCCAACCAGAGUGUUUAGAAGACCUGAGUCAUCAAAACCUGGUGAAUUAAAAUAAGACAGCAUGGAGCCAGGAGAAGAAACAGCAGGAGAACAAGAGGAGACUUUGCAGUCAUCACUGCAAGCAAAUCAAUGGAAACAAUCACCGCUAAAAUUUAGGACUCACAACAUCCUCCCUCAGUCUUCACAGACAGAUGAAUCCCAGCAGACAGUUGCAGAUCUCUCUGCAGACAGCUAUCUGCAGACAGGCAGCUCAUGGACCACAAUGACAAAAGAAAGAGAGGAAUCUUCUCUAAUGCCAGGCAAAUAAGUUCCACAGGAGGAAAGAAGGGUGGGCCACACCGUUUCCCCCCACUCUGAUGGAAACAGCCAAUCACAGACUGGAAAUGGAUUGCAAUCUCCUCCUCAUCGAAAAGAGAUUAAUGUACCUUCCCAAAAGACACUCCUUGUAUUGAGUCUGAGUCCCGUGAGGGAAGAGGCAAUAACAGCAACACCGGUUCUGAGUCUGAGUCCUGUCAGGGAAAAGACACUAACAGAGCAAGUUCUGAGUCUCCGGCCUGCAUGGGUGAGACGAUAGCAGAUCAACCUCGGUUCUGAGUCUCUGACACAUCCAGGAGACACUAACAGGUCAACAACCGUUCUGAGUCUCCGGCAUUUGAAGGUGAGACUGCAACAGAUCAACCUCCGUUCUGAGUCUGAGUCUUGUGAAGGAAAGGACUGCAACAGAUCACCAACAUUCUGAGCCUCAGGCCUGUGAGGGAACUGGCAAUAACAGAUGCCAAGUCCUAAAUCUCCAGCUUUGAGGCAGCAAUAGAUAUAACCAUGUUCUGAGCCUCCAGCCUGCGAAGAACGAGAUAAUCUAGGUUCAGACUUCAUUUAGAGUCUUCAUCCAGCGAGACAACAACAGAUGCAGCAUGUCCUGAGUCUCCAUCUUAGAGAGACAAAUCGGAUCGACCAAGUUCUGCGUCUCUAGCCCAGAGAGGCAGAAGACACGCAGACAUCUGCAACAAGGUUAAGCUCCGGCGAGCAAACCUUCACUCCAAGGUACCUUUGCUUGCCUGUUCCAGGCUAAGGACCUUCUGCACCUACUCCGGGGCCACAUCUGUGUGUUCCAGAUUUUAGGACCCUUUGGUGCACCAGGAGAUCAGCAUCCUCCAGCACUUCAUGUUCAAGGCUGUUGAAACAGAUUCAUGCUCCUUUCUCCACAGCAUUGCUACCAGCACAACCAGUGGAUGAAGUCACUGCUACCGGACUGCUCACUCGACCACAGAGAAUGUAAAUAUAAUUUAUCCAAACCUCUUCCAGAGACCUUGGCAUUGUUAGAUAUUAUCAGUAUAUGACUUUCCUUAUUUACAUUAGAUAUUAUAUAGCUGAUUGCAGUUUAUAGCAAAUCUUUCAUGUAUUUGUUUGAUGCAUAAUAGGGUUCUUCACCUUAUUUCUUUCAGAGUACCAAGAGUUUAUCUUUGCAGAUAAUGUAGCUCUGACAUUGCAACACCCAACAUAAUCACUUGCAUUUUAUGCAUCUUAUGCACUUUAUUCCCAUUUCAUUUAUGGUAUUCAUUUAGUAGUUGUUGAUUACUCGUCUAUCUUUUGUUAAUAAAAUCUGUUUUAUUACAAUUGUGUCUUCCUUG
ensembl:lncRNA